ensembl:lncRNA
AUUAGAGAGGGGCUUAUGCGAGUAUCCUUUGCUAUUACCCUGUGGUCAUUGUCGAGGGUUUGAACACUAUCGCCUAGGCACGAUCCUGACCCUGAGCAUUCACAGGGACCUAAACCAGACCUAAACCAGACGUGUGUUUGACUCUUGCACUCCAAUGGAGGUUGAAGGCAAUUCCAAUACUGGGAGGACAGGCGCCAGUAUUGGAGAUGCGCUCGAAUCUGGAAGGACAGCGGUACCACGGGCAGGUGGUGUAGUGCUGGACCUGUCAGCAGUUGGAGGGAUUCCCCGCUGCUCAGACCUGUACGGACGCGAUGAACGCAGGGGGUAUUUAAACACCAUUGGCUGGUGGACGGAAAGACUGUGUGACAGAAUUGGGAUGUCUAUAUUGAGUACCCACAUUUAUUAUGAUCUCAAAUGAAAUGAUAAGUGCUCACUUGCAUGGGUUUGCUUUGGUUUGUGAUGCUGAUUUAAAACAAACAAAAAACAAUGAUAAUAAUUAUCCAUUGUAAAAUGCUAAAUAAGUAAUGAAAUGUAUGUUUACAUGGUAUACUUGUAGGAUACCAGAACUCCCCCAAUACUAAAUUCGCCUACACAGUGCUAAUGUUAGUACACUUGGACCCAAGUGAAUACUAUAAGAGUUCAUUCAAUGCUGUGUUUGUUCAACACUGGUGUUUUUGCUGUGUAUGCCUGGCAAAUUCAAGGCGACAUGUGUAUUGAUUAUAGCUUACAUGCCAUUCUGUUUGUACUAAGGUCUUGGUGUUUGAUUUUACCCUCAUUGUGUCCCUUUAAAUGCCAUGCCAAAUGUUUCAAGUAGUGAGCAUUUUGGAUGAAUGUAUUUUGUCUGUACUCUCACCAACAACAUGAUUUAAAACAUUUUAUUUAGA